rnacentral:rRNA from 1 species
UACGUAGGGUGCGAGCGUUGUCCGGAAUUAUUGGGCGUAAAGGGCUCGUAGGCGGUUUGUCGCGUCGGGAGUGAAAACCAGGUGCUUAACACCUGGCUUGCUUUCGAUACGGGCAGACUAGAGGUAUGCAGGGGAGAACGGAAUUCCUGGUGUAGCGGUGAAAUGCGCAGAUAUCAGGAGGAACACCGGUGGCGAAGGCGGUUCUCUGGGCCGUGACUGACGCUGAGGAGCGAAAGCGUGGGUAGCAAACAGG